CGUAUCUGAAAGUGGCAAACGGGUACGUAAGACAGUGGUAAUUUACCCUGAAGACGAGGACAACCAUUAGAAAUGAUGGCUAAUACUCGAUAGUCAUGGGGGGACGCUAGGUCAUUCCCAUGUAAAUACUUUUGUGCUUCAGGAGAAACCUUUGGCCUAUCAGCUUGUUGGUGAGGUAAAAGCUCACCAAGGCAACGACGGGUAGCGGGUGUGAGAGCACGACCCGCCUCAUUGGGACUGAGACACUGCCCAAACUCCUACGGGAGGCUGCAGUCAAGAAUCUUCCUCAAUGCUCGAAAGAGUGAAGGAGCGACGCCGCGUGCCAGAAGAAGCUCUUCGGAGUGUAAAUGGCUUUUAUGUGGGAAAAAUUUGCGAUGGUACCACAAGAAUAAGGGGCUGCUAACUUCGUGCCAGCAGCAGCGGUAAUACGAAGGCCCCAAGCGUUAUCCGGAUUUACUGGGCGUAAAGAGCUAAACGGUGGUGUAGUAAGUCGAGUGUUAAAGCUCGGAUCUCAAAUCCGAAUAUGCACUCGAAACUACUACACUCGAGGACGGGAGAGGCAAGUGGAAUUGCUGGUGUAGCAGUAGAAUGCGUUCAUAUCAGCAGGAACACCUAUAGCGAAGGCAGCUUGCUAGAACGAUCCUGACACUAAAUAGCGAAAGCGUGGGGAGCGAAUGGGAUUAGAUACCCCAGUAGUCCACGCCGUAAACGAUGGAUACUAGGUAUCAGGGGAUUCGACCCCCUUGGUAUCGCCAAGCUAACGCGUUAAGUAUCCCGCCUGGGGAGUACGGCCGCAAGGCUAAAACUCAAAGGAAUUGACGGGGAUCUGCACAAGCGGUGGAGCAUGUGGUUUAAUUCGACGAUAAGCGAGGAACCUUACCAGGUCUUGACAUCUCGGGAAGGUCCCAGAAAUGGGACUGUGCCUUCGGGAACCCGAUGACAGGUGAUGCAUGGUUGUCGUCAGCUCGUGUCGUGAGAUGUACCCUUAAGUGGGGUAACGAGCGCAACCCUACGCUAUGUUAAAUGUUCAUAGCGAACUGCCGUCGAUAAGACGGAGGAAGGUGGGGAUGACGUCAAAUCAGCAUGUCCCUUAUGAUCUGGGCGACACACGUGCUACAAUGGGUAUGACAAUGGGGCGCCAAGCCGCAAGGUGGAGCAAAUCCCAUCAAACAUACCCCCAGUUCGGAUUGAGGGCUGCAACUCGCCCUUAUGAAGCUGGAAUCGCUAGUAACCGCGUAUCAGCCAUGGCGCGGUGAAUACGUUCUCAGAUCUUGUACACACCGCCCGUCACAUCAGGGAAGCCGGCAAUACCCGAAGGCCCUUCAACAAGAAGGGACGAAGGUAGGGCUGGUGACAAGGAUGAAGUCGUAACAAGGCA
rnacentral:rRNA from 1 species